rnacentral:pre_miRNA from 1 species
CGGGGGGUAGGGAGGUUCCUUAGCCUGGAUUUCCAGAGGGCGCAGGCCAGGCCGAGGGACUCCACUGGUGCACA